rnacentral:lncRNA from 1 species
UUAGAGAAUGCUUUAAAUAGAGCAAAUAUAUCUACUUUUUCCUGUUAUUCAAGAAGCACGAGCUGUAGUGGUGCCAUAAUCGCAGCCAUAAUGGCUAGAAGAUAAGAAAUCAAAAAUAGAGAAAAUAGGAAAUCAAAAAUAAAAGAGAUAGCUUUGACCAGUUUUGGAGGAACAACAUGUUGAUCAAUUACCCACAUUUUCCAUGCCACAUGCUGCGAAAUACUUGGGAUUCUUCACGGGUUUCCUUACUGAUCUCCAGUUCAUAACACAGUGAGGAAAAAGAAAAGGAAGAGAAAAAAGAAGAAGCACAGAAGAAACUUGCGUGCAUCUAACCCAGUACCUUGCUUGCGCAAAAAUGACGUCAUUUCAGCCUAUUUAGAAUAAAAAAAAGUGGAGUGUGAAACAAGGUCGCACUCAUUAAGUGAAACGACGUCAUUUUAACAAAGGGAAAAUGAAAAGAUGGAGUAAAAGGAGCAUUAUGAUGACACAAGAAAGGAAGAAAGAGGGCCAUGGUUUUUAGUCAUUCCUCAAUAGAUGGUAACUUUUUUCUUUCUAUUUUAGAUAAACUUCUAGUAGUUAGUCAUGUUUACUAAUAAUCUCAUG